rnacentral:rRNA from 1 species
UACAGGGGGCCCGAGCGUUAGUCGGAAUCACUGGGCUUAAAGGGUGCGUAGGCGGACUUAUAAGUGUCGUGUGAAAGCCCACUGCUCAACGGUGGAACUGCACGGCAAACUGUAAGUCUCGAGGAAGUUAGAGGUCGCUAGAACGUUUGGUGGAGCGGUGGAAUGCGUAGAUAUCAAACGGAAUGCCGAAGGUGAAGACAGGCGACUAAGACUUUCCUGACGCUGAGGCACGAAAGCGUGGGGAGCAAACAGG